rnacentral:lncRNA from 1 species
ACAGUCAGCGUCUACACGUGCCCCCGCUUCUCAGGCUUUGAACCUGAAUCACCCCUUCUGUCCAGAGGAAGCCAUCCACAAAGUUGGAGCAUCAAGGUGAGAGCUGAGGCACAGGAGAGGGAAGUGUCUGCCUCAAGACUCUGUCCUCUUCCAGACACCUGUCCUGUCCCCGCUUCCCCAGCUAGGAAGGCAUAGUCCAUUCCAAUUUAAAUAUUAUCCAUGUCACUCCA